GUGCCAGCUGCCGCGGUAAUACCGGCAGCCCGAGUGAUGGCCGAUCUUAUUGGGCCUAAAGCGUCCGUAGCUGGGUCUGAAAGUCCAUCGGGAAAUCCACUCGCUCAACGAGUGGGCGUCCGACGGAAACUGCACAGCUUGGGACCGGAAGGCUCGAAGGGUACGUUCGGGGUAGGAGUGAAAUCCCAUAAUCCCGCAUGGACCACCGAUGGCGAAAGCACUUCGAGAAAACGGAUCCGACAGUGAGGGACGAAAGCCAGGGUCUCCAACCGGAUUAGAAACCCUGGUAGUCC
rnacentral:rRNA from 1 species